rfam:Apaloderma vittatum contig14730, whole genome shotgun sequence.
UAGCUCAGUUGGUUGAGCGUGGUGCUGAUAACACCAAGGUCACAGGUUCGAUCCCCGU